rnacentral:snRNA from 1 species
AUCGCUUCUCGGCCUUUUGGCUAAGAUCAAGUGUAGAAUUAGGUUCCAUGAUAGCAACAUGGAUUAUAGUAUGAAUUUCUAUUGCUGCUCCUGAGAAUCUUUAAAAAUUAUUGAUGCCUGGCUCCCACCCCAGACAUUGUGAUUUAA